rnacentral:rRNA from 1 species
GACGAACGCUGGCGGCGUGCUUAGCACAUGCAAGUCGAACGGAAAGGCCCUGCUUUUGUGGGGUGCUCGAGGGGCGAACGGGUGAGUAACACGUGAGUAACCUGCCCUUGACUUUGGUAUAACUUCAGGAAACUUGGGCUAAUACCGGAUAGUAGCUCCUGCUCCAUGGUGGGGGUUGGAAAGUUUCGGCGGUUGGGGAUGGACUCUCGGCUUAUCAGCUUGUUGGUGGGGUGGUGGCUUACCAAGGCGUUGACGGGUAGCCGGCCUGAGAGGGUGACCGGCCACAUUGGGAGUGAGAUACGGCCCAGAUACCUACGGGAGGCAGAAGUGGGGAAUAUUGCAGAAUGGUGGGACGACUGAUGCAGAAACGCCGCGUGCGGGAUGACGGCCUUCGGGUUGUAAACAGCUUUCGCAUGUGACGAAGCGUGAGUGACGGUAAUGGGUAAAGAAGCACCGGCUAACUACGUG